AGUGAACGCUGGCGGUAGGCCUAACACAUGCAAGUCGAACGGCAGCACAGUAAGAGCUUGCUCUUACGGGUGGCGAGUGGCGGACGGGUGAGGAAUACAUCGUAAUCUACUUUUUCGUGGGGGAUAACGUAGGGAAACUUACGCUAAUACCGCAUACGACCUACGGGUGAAAGCAGGGGAUCUUCGGACCUUGCGCGAUUGAAUGAGCCGAUGUCGGAUUAGCUAGUUGGCGGGGUAAAGGCCCACCAAGGCGGCGAUCCGUAGCUGGUCUGAGAGGAUGGUCGGCCACACUGGAGCUGAAACACGGACCAGGCUCCUACGGGAGACAGCAGUGGGGAAUAGUGGACAAUGGGCGCAAGCCUGAUCCAGCCAUACCGCGUGGGUGAAGAAGGCCUUCGGGUUGUAAAGCCCUUUUGUUGGGAAAGAAAAGCAGCAGGUUGAUACCCCGCUGUUCUGACGGUACCCAAAGAAUAAGCACCGGCUAACUUCGUG
rnacentral:rRNA from 1 species